UGAGGUUUUUUGCUCAUUUAAUCUGAACCACUAAACAGUCAGCCGACAGAAACAACUUUCCCUUAUUAACAACCUGGCUCGAUUGUAACUGGUGACAUAGAGGUGGGAAACUCUAUAUCCGAUUCCCCCAAACAGCCAGCCCCCCAGCCAAUGUAUCACUCAUUUCUCUAAACAGUGUGAGUGUAUCCAUUUAGUCAUAAGGCUUCACUGAAUGGACUGGGUGAAUGAGUUUCGGACAACUGAUCGUUCAUAAACUGUUGUUUUUGACUAUUCACUAUUUGUCUUGUGUGAUUGGUCACCUAAAUCACACACAGUAUUGUUUCUGUUCUCAGACUGAAUGACUGGAGCUUCGUAAGAAUAACUAAACACUGAAUGCUCUCUCUUCUACAAAUUUUCUGUCAAUCUUAGGUACUUAUAUGGCUACCUAUAUUGUAAUAUCUGAGCGCCUCACAAUCUUUAAUGUAUCUAUCCUCACAAUCCCCCUAUCACAUAGGGAAGUGCUAUUAUCCCCAUUGCACAGAUGACAACUGAGGCACAGAGAAACUAAGGGUACAUAGUAGUCCUGAUGUUAUAGUUAAAUUUGACAUUUUUUUCUACAUUCUGCCUAUUUGGGUUCUCCCUGUGGUUACACAUGAAUGGCUUCCUUACUUCCUGUCUUAAACUCUUGGGUAGAAUUUCUGUAGAGUAUUAAACAGAUUUGGCAGUCAUUCCCAGAAGCAGAACAUUUCACUGAUGAAUCUUUCCGGCUAACCCAGUGUAAAAUACUAUUAUUUUAUUAUCUUGAAUAUUAAAAUAAAAAGAAUUAAUAACUCUAGCAAGGGAGAAAGAGUUGAUAAAAAAUGUUAUGUGACAGUUUCCUGUUGAACUUUUCCUGAAUGUCAAGGAAAAGGAGAGGGAUAAUGAUAGUAGGAAUGAAAGAGUAGGCUAACUCAUGAUUAAGAAGUCUGAGAACACUGAAAUGCCACACUGUUCAUAAGGGAAAUUAAAUUACUAAUCCUUAUUCCAUAUGGGGCAUUGUGCAACUAUGCAGGAGCUUUCAACAGCUGGCUGUGAAUGGCCAGUGCAAUGGAAAAGGGCUGUAGAUCCGCUGGGUUCUCUAUGAAUGCUAUCAAAUAGGAGUUGAUCACUGCUAACAUAAUGGAAGGCAGGGGUGCAGAAGAAUGUGAGUUAUGUGUACCUUUGUAGGGGAACCAAGAAUAGUGAAAUCUCUGGUAUAUACCACUGUUUCUGGCUGUAGCAGAUAGGGGGUAGCAGACAUCCUGACUGAGACCUUUGUAACUGUAUGGUCUAUGGUAUUAUGUCCAGUUGACUUUCUGCCUUGCCAGUCGUACUAUAGAGUCUGUUAUAAAGGCUAACAAGACACAUGUCUUGGAGUUAAUAAAGACUGAGCCACACAGCAAACAUUCUGUGUCUGAUCCUUCUCCUGCAGUAAAAACCAAGGGAAUGUAAAACGGUUUGGAAAGGGGACAUAUGAAUUCAAGAAACCAUCACCUGUUCUGCACAGCAGAACUGCCAGUCUGAAAAUCAAACCGAGACUCUUCAAGGACAGAGACUUCAGACACAGCUGCUAACAUGCCAAAGAGUCAGUAUUGAGUAUCACCGACACAGAGAGCUUUGUAGAGAUUUCUUAGAGACAUACAUAUGGCCCCAAUAUAGUACCUAAACUGCAGAUCUGAGAUCCCUGGCAGAAAUGUGCUAUAAGACAUUAUUUUUGUAGGACCACACUUGUUCCUGACUUACACCCCAUGUAAACAUAUUGUAGUCAUAAUCAGGGCAGCAUUUGACCUAUCCUGAGUACACAUAACAAUCAUUGUGCUCUCUGAUACACCUGACAUUUGUUCUAGGACUCAUGUCAUUUCUGUCACACUCCCAAAUUCCUAACUCUAUGCACUUCCCCAAGCUGAUUUUAAUUCUCUUUUUUCCAGCCAUUGGAGCCAUCUGCAUUUUUAAUAAUAAAACUCUCCUGCCAACCCUACAUGAAGGAAAAUGCCACAGGCAACCACCUUUCCUGAAGCAAAGUGUCUAAGAGCCCUUGUCAUUGACCAGAACCCCAGUGUGAGGUGCUGUACAAAGACAGAACACAUGACAACUCUACAAACACUUGCAUAGAAGAAUAAUUAUCAAAGUUCAAUGUAUAAUUUCUUGAAACGUCCUUAGUCCUGACCCAGAAUACAAAGAGUCUGGUCACCUUGGAAUGGAAUCUACAAGGACUGCCUCUACUUCAGUGACUCCAAAAUCCUGGUCUGAACCUGGAGGUCUUUCUACUAUAGAAGAUUUUCUUGCACUUGGAAGAAAGUGGGGUUCCAGUGCUCUCAAACGGGAGCCUGAACUGGCACAGUUCCCACUGGAUGGUUUGCCCAGGAUAGAAGAUAAAACAUCGUACCAUUUCCAGUCCAUCUGGACAGCUACAUAUAAUUUCUUGCCUGGCAGACUAUAUUGAGUCAUUUAUUCUCUAAUACUGUUCUGUGUCUGAAGAAGUCCAAUGCUUGCUGUGAUGAUAACAUGCUGGAUUUUUUUUAAUACUGCAAUGAUGUCUCUUCUAAUGCAUGUCAAAGCUCAAAAAAUAAACAUCUCUAUUUUCUGAGUUG